UCCAGGCUGUGCUCGGAAUCCUUGGAAGUGAGUCACCAUGAAGUGAGGGUGAGAACAGCAAUGGGGUAGCAGCUGUUUCUUUCUAGCCACCAGGAGUGAGGAGUAAGGGGGAGGGCAAGGGGAGUCAGAGCCCAACAGGGAUGGAGUUUUCCAAGGGAAUCACACGAACCAGACUAUGAGAGUGGAGUGUGUGCAGAAAGAAUCCGUUUCACAGAUUGACCCUAGAAGGUGACUUGGAUGUGGGAGUGAAGGUUUGAUAAAAAUGGUGGAAUCAAUGGAGCAUUGGUCGUUAAUGAAUAAAAGAAUGUUGGUAUCAGGAGAGGAGGAUAAGUCAUCUGUUAGGUAGAAUGUGAUGUUGGAGAUGGGAAUGGGAUGCUGGAAAUGAGGGGAAUGAGCGAUCUUGGUUAUUGAUAAGUCACCUGGAAGAUAGGCAGUGAUGUUGCAGAUGGGAGGCUUGAGCUGAGGAGGUGGGCUGAUAGCCUCUACUGGCAACGACAAGGCUGAUGGCAAUUGAUGGCUAAUGGAGUUUAGAUAGGAAAUUUGGGAGAGAGGAGAUCCAUUUUCAGAUAGUGAAGUGUUGGGAGGGUCAUCUAUAUUAGUGUUCCUCCACUUCAGCACUAUUGAAAAUUUGGGCUUGAAAGUUCUUUUUUUUGCAGGGUGGGGAAGCCUGUCCUGUUUUUGUUAGAUGUUGAUCAAUAGGAUGCUGUCUGCUACCCAGCUGAUGCCUACAGCCCUCCUCCAGUUGUGACAACCAAACAUGUUUCCAAAAAUUGGCAGAUGUCUCCUCAUGGCAAAAUCUUCCCUGGUGGAGAACCACGUGUAGGAUAUUCCCCAGGAUUAUAGAGGAAAGUGAUGUUGGUGAGGACAACAGUCCACAUGCACAGAGAAUUGAGAUCACACA